UGGCCUCGUAACACUGAGAAGGCCGACGUGAACUGUGCUUGUGUUUCACACGCCGGUCUCAACCUGGUGACUGGAGACGACUUCGGCCUCAUCAAGCUCUUUGAAUUCCCGUGUUCAGAGAAAUUCGCCAAACACAAACGAUACUUCGGCCACUCAGCCCACGUGACAAACAUCCGCUUCUCCUGUGAUGAUAAAUACGUCAUCAGUGCUGGAGGCAGCGACUGCAGUUUGUUUGUGUGGAAAUGUCAGUGAGAUCUUCC